CCUCAGUCGACCAGCGGACCGUCGGUGCUGCACUCCGAGGCAGACAGAACGCCACGCCUGGCUGCCUCCUCCUGUGACUGCGGGAAAGCGAGAGAGACCCUGGUCUCUGCUGACCCCACCUUGGCACCUAGCCCUGGACAGAGCAACUGAAGCCUCCUCUGCAAGGCAGCCCUACCCUGAAGGCCGCUGGAAGGAAGGUAGCUCUCCAGCCAGCUGCCCUCCCAGCAGAGUUUCAGAUUUGGAUCCUGAGGCUGGGAUCCCCAGGACGACACCUGGCUACCUAGGCCCAUGUGGCCAUCACCGAUGUGCCCUUCUGGCUGCUGGCUGCAGUGCUGUUCAGUUACAGGGUG
rnacentral:lncRNA from 1 species